GAUGCAGUGCACAUUCUCUAAUUAGACCAGAAAGCCCAUGUGGAAAUGGCUAAGAGUUUAGCACCGAAUUAGUCAGGACAUCUGGUUUACUUUUGUUUUAGCCUUUUAGGUGAUGUAGUGGUAACCGUGCUUAAUACGAACUGUAGGGAUGGGCUGAUUGGUCCUUUUUUAUGACGUAUGGAUUUUAUCGAGAAGCAUCCAGGAGAUGCAGGGAAGUACAAAUGGUGAUCAGAGUACAAAAAGAUGAUUAGCUGCUGUACAAUUACACUCUAACUCAUAAAAUUAAGGAACUAAGAAAAUCCAUAAAUUGAUCUAAUUUAUUUCCAUUGCUCAGCUUACAUCAACAAAAAUCUUGCCUUGAAAGAGUGGCUGGGAGCCUGGGUGUUGAAAUCCCAGCAAAAUAUCUCUGGUUUUGAUCUUAUUCCAUAUACACCAAAAAUGCAGGUUGGUACCAUCUGCCACAACCUUUUGAUGUACAUUCCAACUCUUCAUUGGCCCAUCCAUUGUAUGCAUCUUUCAAUUUGUAAGUCAUCACCCAGUACACUGCAAAAAGAUUCUAGAAUAUAUCUGCUACAACUUUUGAUGUACAUUCCAACUCUUCAUUGUCCCAUCCAGUGUAUGCAUCUUUCAAUUUGUAAGGCA
rnacentral:lncRNA from 1 species